GACGAACGCUGGCGGCGUGCUUAACACAUGCAAGUCGAACGAAGUGGCGCACGGGUGAGUAAUACGUGAGUAACCUGCCCUCCUUUUUGGGAAAAGCCUUGGAAACGGGGUCUAAAACCGGAGAAAGGGGGAUGGGCUCGGGGCCGAUCAGCUUGGGGGUGGGGUGAUGGCCUACCAAGGCGGUGACGGGUAGCGGGCCUGAGAGGGGGACCUGCCACAGUGGGACUGGGCUACGGCCCAGAGUCCUACGGGAGUCAGCAGUAGGGGAUAAUGCACACUGGGCGAAAGCCGGAUGCAGCGACGCCGCGUGGGGGAUGAAGGCUUUCGGGGUGUAAACCUCUUUCGCUAGCGAACGGGUAGGUGGAGAAGAAGCGCCGGCUAACUCCGUGCCAGCAGCCGCGGUAAUAC
rnacentral:rRNA from 1 species